CAGCCCCGCGGUAAUACCGGCGGCCCGAGUGGCGGUCACUAUUAUUGGGCUUAAAGCGUCCGUAGCCGGGUUGGGAAGUCCUCCGGGAAAUCUGGCCGCUUAACGGUCAGAAUGCCGGAGGAUACUCCCAGCCUAGGGAGCGGGAGAGGCCGAGGGUAUUCCCGGAGUAGGGGUGAAAUCCUAUAAUCCCGGGAGGACCACCUGUGGCGAAGGCGCUCGGCUGGAACGCGUCCGACGGUGAGGGACGAAGGCCAGGGGAGCAAACCGGAUUAGAUACCCGGGUAGUCCUGGCUGUAAACGAUGCGGACUUUGUGUCGGACAAGCUAUGAGCUUGUCCGGUGCCGGAGGGAAACCGUUAAGUCCGCCGCCUGGGGAGUACGGCCGCAAGGCUGAAACUUAAAGGAAUUGGCGGG
rnacentral:rRNA from 1 species